UACGUAGGGGGCUAGCGUUGUCCGGAAUCAUUGGGCGUAAAGAGCGUGUAGGCGGUCCGGUAAGUCCGCUGUGAAAGUCGGGGGCUCAACCCUCGAAUGCCGGUGGAUACUGUCGGGCUAGAGUACGGAAGAGGCGAGUGGAAUUCCUGGUGUAGCGGUGAAAUGCGUAGAUAUCAGGAGGAACACCUGUGGCGAAAGCGGCUCUCUGGGACGGUACUGACGCUGAGACGCGAAAGCGUGGGGAGCGAACAGG
rnacentral:rRNA from 1 species